rnacentral:rRNA from 1 species
GUGGGGAAUAUUGCGCAAUGGGCGAAAGCCUGACGCAGCGACGCCGCGUGAGGGAUGAAGGUUUUCGGAUCGUAAACCUCUGUCAGAAGGGAAGAAACUACGUUGUGCUAAUCAGCAGCGUACUGACGGUACCUUCAAAGGAAGCACCGGCUAACUCCGUGCCAGCAGCCGCGGUAAUACGGAGGGUGUAAGCGUUAAUCGGAAUUACUGGGCGUAAAGCGCACGUAGGCUGUAGUGUAAGUCAGGGGUGAAAUCCCACGGCUCAACCGUGGAACUGCCUUUGAUACUGCACAACUUGAAUCCGGGAGAGGGUGGCGGAAUUCCAGGUGUAGGAGUGAAAUCCGUAGAUAUCUGGAGGAACAUCAGUGGCGAAGGCGGCCACCUGGACCGGUAUUGACGCUGAGGUGCGAAAGCGUGGGGAGCAAACAGGAUUAGAAACCCGGGUAGUCC